GCGCUGGUGGUUCAGUGGUAGAAUUCUCGCCUGCCACGUGGGAGACCGGGGUUCGAUUCCCCGCUAGCGCA
rnacentral:tRNA from 1 species